UGUGGCCUUGAGCCGUGGCUUUCGGAGCUAACGCGUUAAGUAGACCGCCUGGGGAGUACGGUCGCAAGAUUAAAACUCAAAUGAAUUGACGGGGGCCCGCACAAGCGGUGGAGCAUGUGGUUUAAUUCGAUGCAACGCGAAGAACCUUACCUACUCUUGACAUCCAGAGAACUUUUCAGAGAUGAAUUGGUGCCUUCGGGAACUCUGAGACAGGUGCUGCAUGGCUGUCGUCAGCUCGUGUUGUGAAAUGUUGGGUUAAGUCCCGCAACGAGCGCAACCCUUAUCCUUGUUUGCCAGCGAGUAAUGUCGGGAACUCCAGGGAGACUGCCGGUGAUAAACCGGAGGAAGGUGGGGACGACGUCAAGUCAUCAUGGCCCUUACGAGUAGGGCUACACACGUGCUACAAUGGCGCAUACAGAGGGCGGCCAACUUGCGAAAGUGAGCGAAUCCCAAAAAGUGCGUCGUAGUCCGGAUUGGAGUCUGCAACUCGACUCCAUGAAGUCGGAAUCGCUAGUAAUCGUGGAUCAGAAUGCCACGGUGAAUACGUUCCCGGGCCUUGUACACACCGCCCGUCACACCAUGGGAGUGGGCUGCAAAAGAAGUAGGUAGUUUAACCUUCGGGGGGACGCUUACCACUUUGUGGUUCAUGACUGGGGUGAAGUCGUAAAAAGGUUAACCAAAA
rnacentral:rRNA from 2 species